rnacentral:rRNA from 1 species
GACGAACCGUGCGAACGUUAUUCGGAAUCACUGGGCUUAAAGCGCGUGUAGGCGGGGUGGCACGUCCGGCGCUGAAAUCCCCCGGCUCAACCGGGGAACGGGCGCGGAUACGACCGCCCUCGAGGGACGUAGGGGGACCUGGAACUUCCGGUGGAGCGGUGAAAUGCGUUGAGAUCGGAAGGAACGCCCGUGGCGAAAGCGAGGUCCUGGACGUCCGCUGACGCUGAGACGCGAAAAGCCAGGGGAGCAAAGCGGG